GGAAUUCUGGAGAAGCCUGCCCCAGGGCAGGUGCCGAAGGUGCAAGCGGCCUACCCCCGUGAUCUCUCAGGCAAAAGGACAGAAAGC
rnacentral:ncRNA from 1 species